UAUCAACGGCAUCACGAGGAUCCUACUGUCUCCCCCCUCUAAUCAGUGAAACUGAUCUCCCCGUGAAGAAGCGGGGAUAUACAUAUAAGACGAGAAGACCCCAUGGAGCUUUAAACCUGACAGCACCCGCUCAUUCUAUACCCCAUUAUUUGCCCGACCUCUGUCUGCUCAGUUUUAGGUUGGGGUGACCACGGAGUAUAAAAUAACCUCCAUGAAGAAGGGGAUAUUUCCCUUAUUAGAGAACCACACUUCCAAGAACUAAUAAAUUAAUUUUCAAUGACCCGAUACCCGAUAAUCGAUCAACGAACCAAGUUACCCUGGGGAUAACAGCGCAAUCCACCCUGAAAGCCCUUAUUAACAGGUGGGUUUACGACCUCGAUGUUGGAUCAGGGUAUCCCAGUGGUGCAGCAGCUACUGAGGGUUCGUUUGUUCAACGAUUAAAACCCU
rnacentral:rRNA from 1 species